AUUGAACGCUGGCGGCAGGCCUAACACAUGCAAGUCGAGCGGAUGACGGGAGCUUGCUCCUUGAUUCAGCGGCGGACGGGUGAGUAAUGCCUAGGAAUCUGCCUGGUAGUGGGGGACAACGUUUCGAAAGGAACGCUAAUACCGCAUACGUCCUACGGGAGAAAGCAGGGGACCUUCGGGCCUUGCGCUAUCAGAUGAGCCUAGGUCGGAUUAGCUUGUUGGUGAGGUAAUGGCUCACCAAGGCGACGAUCCGUAACUGGUCUGAGAGGAUGAUCGGUCACACUGGAACUGAGACACGGUCCAGACUCCUACGGGAGGCAGCAGUGGGGAAUAUUGGACAAUGGGCGAAAGCCUGAUCCAGCCAUGCCGCGUGUGUGAAGAAGGUCUUCGGAUUGUAAAGCACUUUAAGUUGGGAGGAAGGGUUGUAGAUUAGUACUCUGCAAUUUUGACGUUACCGACAGAAUAAGCACCGGCUAACUCUGUGCCAGCCGCCGCCGUAAGAC
rnacentral:rRNA from 1 species